rnacentral:misc_RNA from 1 species
AAGCAGAAAUCAAUAAGUAGAUUCGUGGUUGAUUUCUUGGCGAGACAGAAGGUGUGGAUUUUCUCGUCAAAUUUGGCUGUUCAGCCAACAGCAUUCCCUCCACAACAUGAAUGCGGAGGUGGAAUUCCACAUCAGGAAUAAUUACCCGUGGUCAAAGUUACCAGCAAACGUCAAGCAGAUAUUGGGACAAUCACAGAAAGAGUAUGAAAAGCUGGUCGUUAAUUUUAGCGUCAAGAACCAGCUGCGGUAUAAAGGCAACCUUGUGCGCACCGUGCGACGAGAUGAGAAGAAAUACUAUGAAGAACUCCUGAAGUACAGCGCCGAUCACCUGAUGCUGUACCCUUACCAUCUGUCAGACAUCAUGGUCAAGGGGCUUCGAAACACACCCUUUGCCUAUUACUUGAGGAUGAUGCACAGCAUUAUGUCUGGGGAGAAGAGCUAUGAUUCUUUACCCAACUUCACCGCUGCCGAUUGUUUACGACUCCUGGGCAUCGGGCGCAACCAGUACAUAGAUAUCAUGAACCAGUGUAGGUCAUCUAAGCCAUCUCUCAGUCGAAGUGGGAGCUUCAAUAAAUUCUUCCGUCGCCGUCCGAUCAAAGACCUCUUGCCGGUCAAGCCGGUCGACAGUGUCAUCCUGGAACCGUGGUGGAUUGUGCAAGCCGGGUACAUCACGGAGGACGACAUCAAGGCGGUAUCCAUUUCAGAGAAAAACACCAUCGAUAAGAUCAUCGAUGUAGGCGCCCAACUAGCGGGAACCUUGGAUUACUACAUUGCACAUAAACUGUACACAAAAGGCCUUGUUUACAUGGAUGUGCCUAUUGAAGAUGACGACUGUAUCAUUGUUCCCCCACUGGAAGGAUUUGUCAUGAAUCGCCUUCAAGGUGACUACUUCGAGACGCUCUUGUACAAGAUCUUUGUGUCGAUAGACGAGCAUACCACCGUGGCUGAGCUAUCCAAUGUUCUCCAGAUCGAUCUCCAGCUGGUCAAGAACGCUGUCUCCAUGUAUUGCCGCUUGGGUUUUGCCAGGAGGAAGGGUCAAGAACUAGACCCCGAGGCCUUGCAUCCGUCGUGGCAGGACGCAGAACAAAACACUUCCAAAAAGGCCAUCAGCGAUGACCUCCUCCUGAUUGACUGGAGCUCCACCCCCCAAGAGGCCAAGGUCUCCCCCACAGACAGCCAGACAGCCAUCUCGGACUCGGCCAGCAUCGAGGACUCGGAGACCUCAUCAUCUGGGAUCAUCAGCAGCGUGGGGUCGGGCCACAGCAAGCGCAUCGCGUUCCUCUUCGACUCAACGCUGACGGCGUUCCUGAUGAUGGGCAACUUGUCACCGUCCCUGGACGUUAAUCUUUUUACGGGUUUGAAGAGUCAUGCUGUGACGAUGUUCGAGGUGGGCAAACUCUCGGAUGAGUCUUUGGAGAGUUUCCUGAUGGAGUUAGACAGAGUGCCUAUCAAUAGUGUUGCAGAGGGCGAAGCACAGAGGUACUUUGAGCACGCCGUCACCCUCAAGAACACAAUCACAUUCCUUAGGUAUAACAAGAACAUCAGUCCAGAUUUGGAGCGGUACGGCAGCGGUCUGGGCAUCGACCUGCUACGGUGCGAGAGCCUGCUGGGUCUGGACCCGGCCACCUGCUCCCGAGUCCUGCAAAAGAACUACGAGUUAUUGGUCUCCAUGGCGCCGCUGAGCAAUGAGAUCCGGCCCGUCAGCAGUUGUGUCCCACAGCACAUCGGGCCAGCAAUACCAGAGGUGAACUCAGUCUGGUUCAAGCUGUACAUCUACCAUCUGGUCAAAAACGGCCCGCCAACGUUGCUCCUAGUCAAGGGAACAAGGUUACGCUACCUGCCUGAUAUGUUCCAGGAAUACGACAGGCUGCUAAUUACGACCUGGGGUCACGACCCCGGAUUGGUAGCCACAUCCAAUGCCCUACUAACAAUCAACGACGCCCUCGCUCACUCGGCCGUCCUGAUACAGGGCCACGGCUGGGUGACGGACGGUAGAACAUUCCACAUACCCUUCCCUCUAUCCGAAGACCAAGACAAAGGUGGCUCCACCUUAGCUUGGAUGGAGCGCCAUCCUGCCGUCUCUGCUCUUGCCAAAAUCCUGGAUCUCAGGCACACCUGUGGCUACAUCACCCUCCUCAACUCAGGCAAACCCCAGGACAGAAUACCCAAGGGACACCCCACGUCACACCCUACAACAGACGGGGUGACGGAACCCCUUCCAGAGGGAAGAACAACAGCCGCCACGGCAGAACAGAGCAGAGACUUGACAGACUCAAACCUAGCAGUCGCGCAAGUCGCGAAACAAUCGCUGACGCUGCCGGUCAGCUCCCCGAUGCAUGAUGGGAGUGCCAAUUGCCAUGGCAAUAAGUUCAAGGAUGCUGAUUGGUCACUUUUGGGAGUCUGUUUUGGUAUCCCCCUGUUUGGGGACGAAAUCAACAGGAUGGUGUGUGCAAAAGUUGCCAAGUUCGGACUCUGCCAGAGAGAAAGCCUUUCACAGCUGCUGCACAGCAGUCGAAAGUUGUCUCUGUAUCUGCUGAACUUCAUCGCUGAGCAACAGGACAUGCCCGUGGUACCAGACCUCCCGCCGGAAGCUUCCCUCCCAUCCUCCCCGUCCGCAGUCUCCGCCCCUUCCCUGCCCUACCCCACCAGGAACUUAGCAUUCAUCAACAACAAGCUCCAAGUCUGGAACGCCAGCUGAGUUUUAAUUUUCCCUUUACGAUCACCGUACUCCAUCCCAAGGUUAUACAUAGCCCUAAAUACCAACCCUAUGGGGUCGGAUAAAGUAUUAAGACAGGCGCUGUAAGUUUGUUGGAAAAAAAUGAACUCACGGAAAAUUUAGUUCCGAAAAUGAACACCCUUUGACCAGAAUCCAGCCAUAGCGCAUGAAGGAAUCAAAUUUUAAACUGUUAUUUUCUGUUGGUCAAAACUGGCGGUACAUUUUGACAGCUGUCUGUCCAACAAUUGACCCAAUUUUGUGUCUAUAACUUUACGUAGCAUGCUGCAAGUUCUAGGAUGGUACAGUAUACGCCUUCUUGAGAGAUGGCAUUCAAAAGUAAAAUCUUCCAUCUUCUUUCUUGGCAACUCUUGGAGAGGAUCAACGUGACAGUCUCUGUGAAACGGUUCUCCAGUGUUUUGUACAUUCUGUAGUCACUCCCUGUGCACGUGAAACAAGGAGGACCGACUCUUUGCAGGGCUUCCAAAUGCCGAACCUUUUAACCCCACAUGGCUGGAUUGCUCUAAAUGUCACCACGUGUGGACCUUCUUGGCCACGGUGAUUGCAUAUAUUCCUACGGGCAGCUUCAACCACGUGCAAGCGCAUUUGCGAACGCUGCAUGCUUGACUAGUUUAUCUUGAAUAAGUAGAUUAUUUCAUUAACAUCACAACACAAAGUAGUCCAGCAUGAUUGUGACAUCACAGGAAGAAAGGUGCAUAGAGCUGUGUUGACAAAUGUACUUCAGACUGGUGUUUUAAAUGAGACCAUUAGAAGACCAGUCACAAGACCAUUCACAAGAUCAGUCACAACACCAGUCAUCAGACCUUUCACAAGGCCAGUCACAAG